AUUGAACGCUGGCGGCAUGCUUUACACAUGCAAGUCGAACGGUAGAGGGGGCAACCCCUUGAGAGUGGCGAACGGGUGAGUAAUGCAUCGGAACGUGCCCAGUCGUGGGGGAUAACGCAGCGAAAGCUGUGCUAAUACCGCAUACGAUCUCUGGAUGAAAGCGGGGGACCGAAAGGCCUCGCGCGAUUGGAGCGGCCGAUGUCAGAUUAGGUAGUUGGUGGGGUAAAGGCUCACCAAGCCAACGAUCUGUAGCUGGUCUGAGAGGACGACCAGCCACACUGGGACUGAGACACGGCACAGACUCCUACGGGAGGCAGCAGUGGGGAAUUUUGGACAACGGGCGCAAGCCUGAUCCAGCAAUGCCGCGUGCAGGAAGAAGGCCUUCGGGUUGUAAACUGCUUUUGUACGGAACGAAAAGGUCUGGGUUAAUACCCUGGGCACAUGACGGUACCGUAAGAAUAAGCACCGGCUAACUACGUGCCAGCAGCCGCCGUAA
rnacentral:rRNA from 1 species